CUGUGUGUGUGUAUGACUGUGUGUGUGUGUGGGUGUGUGAGGCAAUGGUGUCAUACAACUCUUUGUACUCAUGCGGCUUCCUGCUGAUACAGAGGUCACCCUAGAGCUCCUCCACUGGUGUUUUGGGUCGUGUUGCUGGUACACACUGUUACAGAGACGUGGGACUCUACACCGAGUUACCACACUUAGGUCAGACAUGAUCCUGAUGAAUGGAGGAAGUCCAGGAAAGCAAACAAGCAAAGUAUGCUGACCCGGUAGCUGAGUGCCAGAGGAACGAUUAGAAGGCUCGCUGUGAGUAGGUGGGAGUGGGAUGUACAGGCUUUGCAGGCCAGACUCUACGUCAGACUCUUCAGCUCCUCCAUAAUUUUGGACUGCAAAGAAGGAGAGCCUGAAAAAACACUUUGGAAGCCACAGAGAGGUCCUGAAGGCUCAGCUGGUUGUAGACAGGGUUUUAGUGGUGCACUGCCCAACCAGGAGACAAGUUGGCGUCAUCAUCCCCUGCUGGGACUCCUCAGUGAGGGUGUUACAACCUGAAACACCUGAUGACGAUGUGUCCAGGUAUCACCUCCAGGUGUAUCAUUGAACCAUGUCAUAUCCACAAAGUGACAAGAGUGUUUAGGGUGGAACUUUGUUAUACCUCUGAAGUUGAAUCCGUCUGUCAUUGUGCAUUAAAACACCACAUCAAAAUAAAUACAAAAAUAAAUCCUUGGCUGAAACCCAUCUGUUGGUCCUAUUUUUACCUUCCAAUGUCCCCUUCCUCCACCCACUUCUCGUAAUAGACAUAAAUAAACAUGUAUUUUCCAUAAAAGCUAAGUCCGACUUUCUGCAGUGAUCGAAUUCUGAGAGGCUCCUCCAAGGAAUGUGGAGUUUCUGGCAAGACUUCAUGUACUGCCAAGUUUCACAGAGAGGAUAAGAGGUCAAAACUCCAGACGCUCUUUCAGCAUGUAAAACAACUUAACUGUUUGACUGAUGCUUUUUGGCUCGCAAUCUCCAUCAAGGACAUCAAGUUGCUCAGACCAUUUUAUAUCAUAUAACCUCAGGUUUCGAGAACAGACACAAAUAUACUAAUGUAUAGAUAUCAGGAGUAUUUCAGAGGCUGUUUGAAUUUUCUAAACGAUUAUGAAAUGAGCCUCAAUGCUUCCUUCUUAUCACCUUAUCAAGGAGAAAAUGCUAUCCCACAAUUCUUGUUGGCAGCAAUACUUAAAGUGACGCAACCAUCUUCCUCAGGAAGUCUGCUCCUGGAUCGUAGCCACAUACUAAUAUGCUAAAGUGGGAGGAAAGCCAACAUGAAGUCAAGCACAAGGCCCCAGGCCAAGGGGCGGAGUCUAUGAAAGGGGGCAGGAAGAUCACCUGGGCCUUUUUUUUUCCUGUUUUUAGUGAGAGCAUAUGGGACCUUUGUUUGGUAGGAUCAAUUUGUCCUAUUUAAAAUGUUUUAAAUGCCAGACUUAAAUAAUUAAACUUUAGAAUGUGACAUGUAUAUUUAGCUCAUGUUAUCAAACUAAAGAGUAAUUUAAAAUUUGUUUUGUUCUAAUAUUCAUGUUUAGUGAGGGACUAAGACUUGGCUGCUCAGGUUUUUAAGCCACCUGCGUCUCCAAAUUGGAAAAGGACUGUGUUCCAGUUCAGCAAAAUUAAACAUUUUACAUUACAAAAGGUUUGCAAUGUUUUCUUUACAAAUGUGCUUCUGUUUCUUUAGUUUUUUAAAUAGACACCAUUAGAGGAGCCAACUACUGUAUUUCAUGGUAUUAAAUUCUGACUUAUCAUUGAAUGGUGCAUUUCUUCUGUUUGAUGUGCUUGUUGGUCUUUCUGCUGUACUGGGAUGACUGGGAUGAGUGUUGAGUAGCCAGAUUUGCAUGUGUUUCUGAA